AGAGUUUGAUCCUGGCUCAGAUUGAACGCUGGCGGCAUGCCUUACACAUGCAAGUCGAACGGUAACAGGUCUUCGGACGCUGACGAGUGGCGAACGGGUGAGUAAUACAUCGGAACGUGCCCAGUCGUGGGGAAUAACUACUCGAAAGAGUAGCUAAUACCGCAUACGAUCUGAGGAUGAAAGCGGGGGACCUUCGGGCCUCGCGCGAUUGGAGCGGCCGAUGGCAGAUUAGGUAGUUGGUGGGAUAAAAGCUUACCAAGCCGACGAUCUGUAGCUGGUCUGAGAGGACGACCAGCCACACUGGGACUGAGACACGGCCCAGACUCCUACGGGAGGCAGCAGUGGGGAAUUUUGGACAAUGGGCGAAAGCCUGAUCCAGCAAUGCCGCGUGCAGGAUGAAGGCCUUCGGGUUGUAAACUGCUUUUGUACGGAACGAAAAAGCUUCUCCUAAUACGAGAGGCCCAUGACGGUACCGUAAGAAUAAGCACCGGCUAACUACGUGCCAGCAGCCGCGGUAAU
rnacentral:rRNA from 1 species